CUGGACGACCCUUCGGGGAGCUUGUACAGGUGCUGCAUGGCUGUCGUCAGCUCGUGUCGUGAGAUGUUCGGUUAAGUCCGCUAACGAGCGCAACCCUCGCUGUGUGUUACAAGUGUCACACGGAACUGCCGGGUCAUAAACCGGAGGAAGGUGGGGAUGACGUCAAGUCAGCAUGGCCUUUAUAUCCUGGGCUACACACACGCUACAAUGGGAAGGGACAAUAGGUUGUGAAGCCGCGAGGCGGAGCCAAUCCAGCAAAACUUCCCUCAGUUCAGAUUGCAGGCUGCAACUCGCCUGCAUGAAGUUGGAGUUGCUAGUAAACGCAGGUCAGCCAUACUGCGUUGAAUACGUUCCCGGGGCUU
rnacentral:rRNA from 1 species